UGUUUCACAUUCGAGUUAAAAAACCAUAAUGCUCUUGAAUUGUUAUCGAUAUAAUUUGUGUCAAUUUUUUUCACAUCAAACUUAAAAAAAAAAAAUCAAACUUUUCCUCACCACUGUUAAAAGUUUUCUGCGCACAUGAUGUGUAUAAAUUUGGGCUAGGUAUAGGCCAACAAUUUUUACAUUCGCCUUGGUCCAUAAUAAUGUUAACUUUAAAGCUUAAUUAAGAGAUUCAUACAUUCCACUAACUCACUUAAACAAACAGAAGUAACAAAAACAACAACAAUAAAAAAAAAAACAUUACACUCAACAAAAAAAAAAGUAUAGGUACAUAAUAUGCAAUAAAAGAGCGAAAGUUGUUAUAUAUACAAAAAAAAAUUCCCCUCUCUCUGAAUAUGUCUCUCUUUCAUCUCUCUCUAAAUAAAAUGGAGAAAGCACAAGAAUUCACUUUCAUUUUUGCCAUUUUGUUACAAUUACACAUACAUACAUAAAAAAAAAAAACACUUUACCUACUUUAUUCUAUAAAAGGACCUCGUCUCUUUAUCCUUGCUCUCCUCAAACUAAACAUAUGGAAAAGUUAAAAAUUGAGCUUUUUUUUUUAUUAUUCUUGGUUGUAGAACAGUUUCAAACUAAGCUUAUGUAAGUUUAGUAUACUAUUGCGCAUGAUGUCGAUAAGGUAGUUCAAUAUGGAAAAGCUUAAAUUAUGUAAAAAAAAAAAAAAUAUAUAUUCUCUUUCUUUUUCUAAUUUUUUGGUUUUCUCAUCUCGUUGUUGUGUCCUAGAAUUACUACUUGAAAAUGAAUACUUAAAGUGUUAUACCUACACUUUAUGAGAUAUGGGUGGGAUCCUUUAGAAUAGAACAACACUAUAUUAUUUACAGUUCUGUACUUUUCCAACACAAAAUAUUGAUGCUUUUUUGAGCUUUUCUUCAUAUUAUAAAGAAGAUGUCCUCUCUCUCUCUCUCUGGUUUUUUUUGAAAAUGGACGAUUUUAAUAAUAUCAUUGCCAGAGUGCCUCAGUCAUAUCGAGAACGUCGUCGGGCGAUGUGUGCGUCAAUUGGAAUUAUCCCGUGAAUCGCGCCACACACAUAGAAAAAAAUAAAAUAUAAGAAGAAUAGAAAAAAAAUAAUAGAAAACAAAACAACAACAAAUAAGAAAAAAAAAUUAUCAUUGUGUAUAGAGGUUUUUUUUUAUCAUCUACUUCGUCCUUUUUUGUUGUAUAUUCAUUUCCCUUUGAGUUGUUGGUGGAGUGUCCUUAAAAAAAAAAAAAAUCAAACUAAAAUUAAAUUCGCAAUAACAUUUCACAUCGAGAGAGAUAUUUCCAGGAUACAGAUUUCCCUUUAAUUUCGUCCUUAUUUUUUUUUUUUUUCAUCUCAAAUUCAGAGAGUUUUUUUUUUUCAACGACUCAACACAAAAAUAAAAAAAAGGAAAAAAAUAAUAGAAAUUGUUGAUUUGAUUCGUCCUUGUUGGAUGUUUUUUUUUUUUUUAUUUUUUUUUUUUUGUAUUUCUUGUCUUCUAUUUGUUUGUUCGUUGUGUUCUUGUGCGAAUUUGAUCUUAUUACGACGCUCCUCUUGUGAAUGUCCUUCACCGCCCGAAACGAAACGAACCGAAUAUACCGAACUGUGUGACGUCUUCCGCAAAAACGUUGUUAUUAUAUUUAUCGGUGUUUUCCUCUCUUUUUCUGAUAUUCCGGGGUGCUGCCGUGUUUCCGUUGACGUUACUACACUGCUUCCUCUUGCUUUUCUCGUCCUCUCGUCCUGACUCCUUGCUCGCGCUUUAUUGAACAUAAUAUGCACUAGAUAGAUGCAUUAAAUCCACCAUAGCCAAGAAAAAAUGUGUUUGUGUGCAUUUACAAAGGAUAUCACAGUGAAAUAAUAAAAAUACAAAAAAAAUACCAAGAAGGCAAAAUAAAAAAAAAAAAAAAAAAAAUUUGAAAACAAGUAGCAAAAUCCUUUUCGCUCUUAGCCAUCAUACACACACUAUAGUCAGAGAGCCAAGCCAAGCUAACAACAAGCAGAGCAUCGCAUCGCAUCAGCAGAGCACCAAACAGCACUAUUGCACACUAUAGUAGAGCAGCACUAGCUUCACUGCAAAAAGAAUAAAUAUGUGUUAAAAGCGCACUUAAAUCAACAUCCUUUCCCAGUUAUAGUAUAUAUUCGACAUACAAACAGGCAUAUAAUACUACGAAAAAACCCCCCCAUCCCCCCAUAUAUAUCUACCGACUACCGCCCCCGCCCGCUUGCUCCUAGAACAAAAAAAAAAAAUAGAAAAAAAAAAACUCAGCCCGCCAUAUUCUGCAUUCUUCAACACAAAAAAAAAAAAAACCCUCUCGAGCUCUCCUCCCCCCCAACAAAACCCGACUAUCCGACCAUCUCCGACCACCCGCCAUUACCACACCGCUACUACCACCGCCGCCCGUCGCCGCGCCACUCGCCGCAACCUGACACACUAAGGAUAUACGAUACAAAACAUAAACAUAUGUGAAAAAGCAAAUAUGAUGAUGGUAGAAAGUUAAGUAAAAAUAAUAUUGGCACGUGCACCUUCUUUUCCUAUAUUGGAAAAUAAUCCUUCACAACAACCAAAACCAUAUAAGCGAGAGAGAGAGUGUGUGAGCAAAAAAAAAAAAAAAAAAAAAAAAAAUAUGAAAUAA